UGGCAAGCGUUGUCCGGUAUUAUUGGGCGUAAAGCGCAUGUAGGCGACCUUUUAAGUCAGUCGUGAAAAUGCGGUGCUUAACACCGUAUGGCGAUUGAAACCGGAAGGCUUGAGUGCAGGAGAGGAAAGGGGAACUCCCAGUGUAGCGGUGAAAUGCGUAGAUAUUGGGAAGAACACCAGUGGCGAAGGCGCCUUUCUGGACUGUGUCUGACGCUGAGAUGCGAAAGCCAGGGUAGC
rnacentral:rRNA from 1 species